UACGGGGGGCGAGCGUUGUUCGGAAUCACUGGGCGUAAAGGGCGCGUAGGCGGCCCGCACAAGUCUGCGGUGAAAACCCCCGGCUUAACCGGGGGCCGGCCGUGGAAACUGUCGGGCUGGAGGCUGGGAGAGGGCAGCGGAAUUCCCGGUGUAGCGGUGAAAUGCGUAGAGAUCGGGGAGGAACACCGGCGGCGAAGGCGGCUGCCUGGACCAGUCCUGACGCUGAGGCGGCGAAAAGC
rnacentral:rRNA from 1 species